CUUCAUUUUAGGUGGCAUCUAGCGCUUUCAGAGAAGAACUGGAAGAUAACAACAGUGGCAUAAGCAAGUUUAAGCAUCGAAGGCAUAUUGGAGAAGUCGGACAUAUUCCCCAUGAAAGGUUCAUGGAAAUUUGAGCUGCUGGAGUCACUUGUGACCAGAUGUGUUUGGGGACCAGAGUAAAAGGAUGAAGUGAUACAAGGGAAGGCAGACAAGAUGCUCCAUUGGGAACAGAUGGCUUUCUGGAAAUCUCCCAAAAAGAACUACUCCUGGAAUAGAUUUCAUCUGCAGGCCCCACGCAGAGCUUCUGACAUGGGAGGAAGUGGAAUCUCUGCUCUUAACUCUUGGCCAGCAACCAUAACUGUGGGAGGAACACAGCCUUGAAUACAAU